rnacentral:tRNA from 2 species
GCGCGUUUAGCUCAGCGGGAGAGCGCUUCCCUGACACGGAAGAGGUCACUGGUUCAAUCCCAGUAUCGCGCACCG